GUGCAAGCAGCCGCGGUAAGACAGAGGGUGCAAACGUUGCUCGGAAUCACUGGGCGUAAAGGGCGUGUAGGCGGGUAGAUAAGUCGGGCGUGAAAUCCCUAGGCUCAACCUAGGAACUGCACUCGAAACUGUUUAUCUUGAGUGCCGGAGAGGAAAGCGGAAUUCCUGGUGUAGAGGUGAAAUUCGUAGAUAUCAGGAGGAACACCAGUGGCGAAGGCGGCUCUCUGGGCCUUUCCUGACGCUGAGACGCGAAAGCGUGGGGAGCGAACAGGAUUAGAUACCCUGGUAGUCC
rnacentral:rRNA from 1 species